rnacentral:misc_RNA from 1 species
AACGCACAUUGCGCCCUCUGGUAUUCCGGGGGGCAUGCCUGUUCGAGCGUCAUUAUCACCACUCAAGCUCGGCUUGUAAUUGGGCGUCGGUCCCCCGUUCCGGGGAGACUCGCCUCAAAAGCAGUGACGGCCGUGUCCGAUCCUCAGCGUAGUACGAUUACCAAAUCAUCGCUUCCGGGUCGGGCAUCGUUUGCCGGUCAAAACCGAACGGUUCCCCGUCGUGGGACCUUCAUUUCUAAGAUUGACCUCGGAUCAGGUAGGGAUACCCGCUGAACUUAA